CGCUCACGGUGGCUGGGAACGUCACUGUCUGGCACCGUGCAGUGUCUCCCUGCUCUUGCCCCUUCUGCCUGCCCUGCAUCUGCCCUGGCAUGACCCAUCCAUCAGUGCUCCUCCUCAAAUCAAACCCUCCAUCACGGCUGUGGACCAGAUGGCACCAAUCCUCCUGGCACAGCCCCAGCACAGCCCCAGAACUUGCCAGGUAGAGUUAGCUGCCUUGUGUCUAUUUAACUUUAGCAUUUUUUGUGAUAAUGCAUCAUGCAGAUAAUUGUUUUGUCUUUUUCUCUAC
rnacentral:lncRNA from 1 species